CAUUGUUUGUGCCCUAUCCAUCAUGAUAUUCUUAUCAUUGUUCUAUUGAAUGUAUGCCGGUCAAAUUAGCAAUUCAUUGCUAUACACUUAUUAUUCAGUCUGGAAUUGCAUUUUUUAAUCUCAGUGCUCAAGCUGUGCAUGCUAUUCAAAUAUGGCUCACAACAAAAGGACUGCAUCUCUGAUUAGUGUGGUUCAUGAACUAAUUGGGUCUUGUUUUGUGCAACAGACAUGGACACGAAAGUUAAAGAUGACAAUUAAGAACUUGCUCAGUCUCAUGAAGAAGUUUGGAGGUUGACUAUGGAGAUAAAAAUGGCAAAUGAAAAGUUGAAUGAGCUCAAGCAGAUCAAGGAGGACCUUGAGAAAACUGUUUGUGAGCUGAAGAAGGAUGUUGAGAGCCUUACCAAACAAAAUAACGCCUCUGACUACCCGCUCAUCACCCAGGACGACGCUGAUCCGUGUGAAGUGGACGUGGGAGGCUUGCUCAGCAUACUCCCUCCGUUUCUCUCGAAGAGUCCGUUAUUCCGUUCGCCUGGGCUGGUGUUACCUGCGUCGUCGACGGAAAAAUUGUUCGUAGAGCGGCCGGCCGUGGAAGAAUGGAGUAUACGCCGGAAUGCAACUAGGGAAAGACAAGGUGGAUACUGCAUCACUCGACGGCUGGUUGUGAUGGAGAAGAUCAUGCAGAGGGUCUAAGCAUGGAGGUUGUGCCACAACGUAGAGCUGAUGGUGGUCAAAACACGACUGAAGUGCAGCAUUCGCUGAGCACAUGUGGUGCAGUAAUUCAAAUCGAUGCAGGUGAUGGGAAAACUCUAGAGACACUGGACGAGAAUACGCCACCAGCAACGGAUGUACUAAAUCGAGUGUACAGGAAAGACAUCAGUCAUCUUGGCAUACGGCUGUUGUCAUUGAAUGAUGACUGGACAGAGGGAGUACCUGAAGAAAUAUUGGAUACGACUCAACCAAUUGAGAGGUAUGAGCAUAUGCUUGUAGCAGUAUGUCAAUCGUAGCAUGUGCAUGAUCUGAGUAGUAUUCGACCGAGAUAUUAAAAAUGGGGAGAGUAUUAUGAAUAGGGUGAAAAGUUAGUGAGCCAAAGGCUGAAUUUCGUCUCUCUUAUAUUGUUUAGGGUUGUGCUAGAAGAGAUUGAUCAGAAUGCUGAAGUACUAGAAAAUUACUCCGAUCCUGAGAUUAUGGUGCCGAGAGUGGGACAGGCUUUCAAAACAGAUACUGAUGCCUUCAAUUUUUACAAUAUGUACUCUAUUCGUAUGGGAUUUGGUAUUCGUCAUAACAAAAAUCGAAAGAACGUGGCUGUAACACCCUACUUUACAACUAAGCAUAUUUAUUCAAAAAUAGAAAAUUUUGGCUGUAUUUCCUCUAUAGGGACGGUAUAACUGACCACAAAAAAGAUCACAGGCAGACAAUAUAUGAUAUAAACAACAUAUAGAAAUUUUCACGACGCUACCAGCGUCUUACCACAACAUAUACAAAACAGCUUUUUCAAGCGCGAAACUUAAUACAAAACGAAUGACAGACUGCCAAAAGCAUAGUUCUAAACACUGAUUGAGUUAUCGACAUCAUGAUGAGGUAGUGCGUGUAAAUACCAAAUUCCAUCCCCAAAAUGCACGUCAACAUUCUAAACAUACCUGUAAAAGAUUUAACAGGGGGGUGAGAUGAGCUCAGCAAGUAACAGCUAUGAAUAUAAACAUAUCUCACCCGGUUCAAGAGUAUUUGGGAAUUAAUCAUUCUUCUCACAACGUAAAAAAAACAUAUGGUUUUAAAGAGAAUAUCCUUUCAGAAUAUUUGUCAAGAAAGUAACGACAGACUCCAACCUGGUCUCCCACAAAUAAUGGUAUUUAACUUCCAGAAUUCUGUAUUAUUCAGAUAUCAUAUAAAUGUAUGAAUGCCAUGAUGCAACUCCAUUUGAGAGCUAGACGAUGCCAACCUCUCAUGCAACUCCAUGUACCGGUACGAAUCACGCACGAUGGCAGUGAUCGGCCUUUAUCACCAUAUGAAGUGCAUAAAUGUAUAUGUAUGCAUGUGAAUUGACGUUAAUUCUUAAUUUCCUUUUGAUGAUUCCUUUUUAUGAGUAUCACUACUACUAGUUCAUGAUAUCAGCGAUAUAAACAAAAACAACGAAAUGACAUUGAUUUAAUUCAUCAAAUACGAUAUCAUUCAUCAUAUGAAUAAAUUGGAAAAAUAUCAGAUAUUUCAAUUUUAUCUGUGAAAGAAAUAAGACAUGAAUAUAAACAUAGCAUUGAAUUACACCCCCACGUUACUUGCCUUUUACCAAAAGCGACGAAGAGAUUUCGAUUAGGUACGUCCGGAAGUAUUACCACCUGCACAGGUAUAUU